UCCAAAACAGUCGUUCGACUGAAAAGUAAGUCCCCCGGUUCAGGGGA
ncrna:unclassified sequences RAGATH-25 RNA